UACAGAGGUCUCAAGCGUUGUUCGGAUUCAUUGGGCGUAAAGGGUGCGUAGGUGGCGCGCUAAGUCAGGUGUGAAAUUUUCGGAGCUUAACUCCGAAACUGCAUUUGAUACUGGCGUGCUUGAGGACUGGAGAGGAGACUGGAAUUCAUGGUGUAGCAGUGAAAUGCGUAGAGAUCAUGAGGAAGACCAGUGGCGAAGGCGGGUCUCUGGACAGUUCCUGACACUGAGGCACGAAGGCCAGGGGGAGCAAACGGGG
rnacentral:rRNA from 1 species